rnacentral:rRNA from 1 species
AUGGGGUGCAGCAGGCGCGAAAACUCUGCAAUAAGCGAAAGCCUGACAGGGUUAUUCUGAGUGAUUUCCGCUAAGGAAAUCUUUUGGCACCUCUAAAAAUGGUGCAGAAUAAGGGGUGGGCAAGCCUGGUGUCAGCCGCCGCGGUAAUACCAGCACCCCGAGUGGUCGGGACGAUUAUUGGGCCUAAAGCAUCCGUAGCCGGUUCUACAAGUCUUCCGUUAAAUCCACCUGCUCAACAGAUGGGCUGCGGAGGAUACUAUGGAGCUAGGAGGCGGGAGAGGCAAGCGGUACUUAGUGGGUAGGGGUAAAAUCCGUUGAUCCAUUGAAGACCACCAGCGGCGAAGGCGGCUUGCCAGAACGCACUCGACGGUGAGGGAUGAAAGCUGGGGGAGCAAACCGGAUUAGAUACCCGGGUAGUCCCAGCUGUAAACGAUGCAGACUCGGUGAUGAAUAGGCUUCGUGCCUAUUCAGUGCCGCAGGGAAGCCGUUAAGUCUGCCGCCUGGGGAGUACGGUCGCAAGACCGAAACUUAAAGGAAUUGGCGGGGGAGCAC